UGGGCUGUGCUCUGCUGGGCUGGGCUGGGCUGUGCUGUUCUGAACUGGGCUGAGCUGGGC
rnacentral:miRNA from 14 species